rnacentral:rRNA from 1 species
UAUGUAGGGUGCAAGCGUUGCCCGGAUUUAUUGGGCGUAAAGGGCGCGUAGGCGGCCUUCUAAGUCGAACGUGAAAUCCCCGGGCUCAACCCGGGAACUGCGUCCGAUACUGGAAGGCUUGAAUCCGGGAGAGGGAUGCGGAAUUCCAGGUGUAGCGGUGAAAUGCGUAGAUAUCUGGAGGAACACCGGUGGCGAAGGCGGCAUCCUGGACCGGUAUUGACGCUGAGGCGCGAAAGCCAGGGGAGCAAACGGG